rnacentral:rRNA from 1 species
GAUGAACGCUGGCGGCGUGCCUAAUACAUGCAAGUCGAGCGAACGGACGAGAAGCUUGCUUCUCUGAUGUUAGCGGCGGACGGGUGAGUAACACGUGGAUAACCUACCUAUAAGACUGGGAUAACUUCGGGAAACCGGAGCUAAUACCGGAUAAUAUUUUGAACCGCAUGGUUCAAAAGUGAAAGACGGUCUUGCUGUCACUUAUAGAUGGAUCCGCGCUGCAUUAGCUAGUUGGUAAGGUAACGGCUUACCAAGGCAACGAUGCAUAGCCGACCUGAGAGGGUGAUCGGCCACACUGGAACUGAGACACGGUCCAGACUCCUACGGGAGGCAGCAGUAGGGAAUCUUCCGCAAUGGGCGAAAGCCUGACGGAGCCAACGCCGCGUGAGUGAUGAAGGUCUUCGGAUCGUAAAACUCUGUUAUUAGGGAAGAACAUAUGUGUAAGUAACUGUGCACAUCUUGACGGUACCUAAUCAGAAAGCCACGGCUAACUACGUGCCAGCAGCCGCGGUAAUACGUAAGUGGCAAGCGUUAUCCGGAAUUAUUGGGCGUAAAGCGCGCGUAGGCGGUUUUUUAGGUCUGAUGUGAAAGCCCACGGCUCAACCGUGGAGGGUCAUUGGAAACUGGAAAACUUGAGUGCAGAAGAGGAAAGUGGAAUUCCAUGUGUAGCGGUGAAAUGCGCAGAGAUAUGGAGGAACACCAGUGGCGAAGGCGACUUUCUGGUCUGUAACUGACGCUGAUGUGCGAAAGCGUGGGGAUCAAACAGGAUUAGAUACCCUGGUAGUCCACGCCGUAAACGAUGAGUGCUAAGUGUCAGGGGGUUUCCGCCCCUUAGUGCUGCAGCUAACGCAUUAAGCACUCCGCCUGGGGAGUACGACCGCAAGGUUGAAACUCAAAGGAAUUGACGGGGACCCGCACAAGCGGUGGAGCAUGUGGUUUAAUUCGAAGCAACGCGAAGAACCUUACCAAAUCUUGACAUCCUUUGACAACUCUAGAGAUAGAGCCUUCCCCUUCGGGGGACAAAGUGACAGGUGGUGCAUGGUUGUCGUCAGCUCGUGUCGUGAGAUGUUGGGUUAAGUCCCGCAACGAGCGCAACCCUUAAGCUUAGUUGCCAUCAUUAAGUUGGGCACUCUAAGUUGACUGCCGGUGACAAACCGGAGGAAGGUGGGGAUGACGUCAAAUCAUCAUGCCCCUUAUGAUUUGGGCUACACACGUGCUACAAUGGACAAUACAAAGGGCAGCGAAACCGCGAGGUCAAGCAAAUCCCAUAAAGUUGUUCUCAGUUCGGAUUGUAGUCUGCAACUCGACUACAUGAAGCUGGAAUCGCUAGUAAUCGUAGAUCAGCAUGCUACGGUGAAUACGUUCCCGGGUCU